GAGAUAACUGGCUCGCACCUUGUUGGGUUUUUUCAAGGGCAGAGGGGAGAUUCCUGGCGUGCAUCUACUUAAUUUGAAGAAGAACAUCACCUGUCUGUAAUCCACCUGCGAAGACACUGCUGAGGUCAGACGAGAGUGCAUCCUCAAAUGUCUGUGUGUACCUAAAUGAAGAUCCAGAGAAGCUGGUGAGGGAGUACAUGGACGUUGAUGAAUGCGCAGAAAUGGCCAAAGCCGAGACUGUCCUCUGAAUCGUCAUUUGAGCAGAGGGUGCAGAGGCUGCCGAUGCACAUCUGGAUGUUGGGAUUGUCCUGGAGGAGGUGGAAGUUAUGAACAGC